rnacentral:rRNA from 1 species
UAUUGGUCAAUGGACGCGAGUCUGAACCAGCCAAGUAGCGUGAAGGAUGACUGCCCUAUGGGUUGUAAACUUCUUUUAUAUGGGAAUANNGUUUUCCACGUGUGGAAUUUUGUAUGUACCAUAUGAAUAAUGAUCGGCUAACUCCGGUCCAUCAGCAGCGGUAAUACGGAGGAUCCGAGCGUUAUCCGGAUUUAUCGGGUUUAAAGGGAGCGUAGGUGGAUUGUUAAGUCAGUUGUGAAAGUUUGCGGCUCAACCGUAAAAUUGCAGUUGAAACUGGCAGUCUUGAGUACAGUAGAGGUGGGCGGAAUUCGUGGUGUAGCGGUGAAAUGCUUAGAUAUCACGAAGAACUCCGAUUGCGAAGGCAGCUCACUGGACUGUUAACUGACACUGAGGCUCGAAAGUGUGGGUAUCAAAC